UAGAAAGUUACUUCGGUACAUCGGUGACAGGUGGUGCAUGGUUGUCGUCAGCUCGUGUCGUGAGAUGUUGGGUUAAGUCCCGCAACGAGCGCAACCCUUGUCUUUAGUUGCCAUCAUUCAGUUGGGCACUCUAAAGAGACUGCCGGUGUCAAACCGGAGGAAGUGGGGAUGACGUCAAGUCCUCAUGGCCUUUAUGACCAGGGCUACACACGUACUACAAUGGCCGGUACAAAGGGCAGCCACUUAGCGAUAAGGAGCCAAUCCCGUAAAGCCGGUCUCAGUCCGGAUUGGAGUCUGCAACUCGACUCCAUGAAGUUGGAAUCGCUAGUAAUCGCAGAUCAGCACGCUGCGGUGAAUACGUUCCCGGGCCUU
rnacentral:rRNA from 1 species